AUGAUGCAGAGCAGCGCGGAUCCAUCCCCUGCAUCCUGCGCUGUGGGAGGGGGUGGCGGGGCUGGCCCCACAUCCGCUCCAUUUGGCUUCCCAAGAGUGUCCCGAAGCGCUCGGCUCUGUCCCUGUCCCUGUCCCUGUCCCUGUCCCUGUCCCUGUCCCUGUCCCUGUCCCUGUCCCUGUCCCUGUCCCUGUCCCUGUCCCUGUCCCUGUCCCUGUCCCUGGCUGCCCUCCCAGCUCAGCACAAACCCGGGGCUCUGGAGCCCUGACCCCCCAAGCAAAGCCUCUCCUUGGCCAGCGCAGCUCUGGGGAAAGCCCAGGGGAGAGGGAGAAGUGGCGAUUUCCUGCCGGAGCCCGCGGGCCCGUUCACAGGCCCCUGCUCCAGAGCCGAGCCGUGGGAACGCGGGGGGUUCGGGAGCAGCAAGCAGCCGGGGCUCGGUCACCCCGCCCUGUGCCAGCCCACCCGGGUGGCACCGCUGCCAGCACACACGGAGCCCUCACCCGGCAGUGCAAAGUGGGGGAGCUGAGCUGAGCACCUGGAGCCGCCUGUCCUGGCACCCCCAGGCGAUGCUGCAGCCGAGAGCACCGGCUCUGCCCGAAGUUUCCCCGCGGCUCUGCCCGGCUCCCGCAGCAAAUCCCAGCCUGGGCCAUCCCAUCCUGCUGUGCCACCCCUGCCAGCUCCCCAGAAAGGGCGCAGUGCCAGGCUGGGUGCCUGCUCCUGCCUCUGUUGGACGUGGCUCAGGCAUUUUCCACAAAGACAAAGCGGAGCAACGUCAGCAAUUCUUUGCUUUUAACUCUUUCCUGCUCCUCCGAGGAGCAGUGACAGCGUUCAGGUGCCCGUGUGGCACCUCCCUGUCCCCUCCCUGGGCACUGAGCACAGCCCUGAGCCCGGGCUCUGGGGCACAGCGGUUCCCUGCUGACACUGCAGGAAUUAAAGCACCAGCAGCGGGGCAGGGCGUGGAGGAACUGCCUGGGGAGGGCUGGGAGCAGCGGGGCUGCUGUGCCAGGCUGGGUGUCACCAGUGUCACACUGCUGUGCCACGCUCGGUGUCACACUGCCGUGCCAGGCUGGGUGUCACACUGCCGUGCCAGGCUCGGUGUCACACUGCCGUGCCAGGCUGGGUGUCACCAGUGUCACACUGCUGUGCCAGGCUGGGUGUCACCAGUGUCACACUGCUGUGCCAGGCUGGGUGUCACCAGUGUCACACUGCUGUGCCAGGCUGGGUGUCACCAGUGUCACACUGCUGUGCCAGGCUGGGUGUCACCAGUGUCACACUGCUGUGCCAGGCUGGGUGUCACCAGUGUCACACUGCUGUGCCAGGCUGGGUGUCACCAGUGUCACACUGCUGUGCCAGGCUGGGUGUCACCAGUGUCACACUGCUGUGCCAGGCUGGGUGUCACCAGUGUCACACUGCUGUGCCAGGCUGGGUGUCACCAGUGUCACACUGCUGUGCCAGGCUGGGUGUCACCAGUGUCACACUGCUGUGCCAGGCUGGGUGUCACCAGUGUCACACUGCUGUGCCAGGCUGGGUGUCACCAGUGUCACACUGCUGUGCCAGGCUGGGUGUCACCAGUGUCACACUGCUGUGCCAGGCUGGGUGUCACCAGUGUCACACUGCUGUGCCAGGCUGGGUGUCACCAGUGUCACACUGCUGUGCCAGGCUGGGUGUCACCAGUGUCACACUGCUGUGCCAGGCUGGGUGUCACCAGUGUCACACUGCUGUGACAGGCUCGGUGUCACAGUCACACUGCUGUGCCAGACUCCGUGUCACCAGUGUCACACCAGGAGCAGGGCUGCUGUGCCAUGCUCAGUGUCACACUGCUGUGCCAUGCUCAGUGUCACACUGCUGUGCCAGGCUCGGUGUCACCAGUGUCACACUGCCGUGCCAGGCUGGGUGUCACCAGUGUCACACUGCCGUGCCAGGCUGGGUGUCACCAGUGUCACACUGCCGUGCCAGGCUGGGUGUCACAGCCGCAGCGAUGCGUCAGUGCAGCCGUGGGCACUCCGUGGGGGAGGUGUGCAGCGUUCCCGCUGCCUGGAGAGCGGCUGUGGAAUGGGGAGGGGGAUGUGUGCAGCCCCCAGCGCUCACCUGCAGCCAGGCCAGGCCCGGGUUGGCCGCUGUCCGACUCCAUCCCAGCUGUGUCUGUGCAAGCCCUGCUGCCAAAAUCCCGAUGGGUGAGGAGGGGGACGCUCGUUCCCGACUGUAUUCCCGCAGCAGUCCCCAGCAGGGACCCUCCCUCUGCGCUGGUUUGAUGUGGAAAUACGGAAAUCCUGGGAAUUCCUGGCCCGGGGAAGGACCCAGCUCUGUCCUGGCAAAGCCCCAGGCAGCAACACUUCUGGGUGAUCUGAAAUGUGAUCUGAAAUGUGUCCCCCCUUUGCAGCCAGGGGCUCUGCUGGGAUGGGGAUAAGGGGGCUGCAGGUGAGGAGUGAGGGGCGUGGGGCACUGCCACCAACAUCCCAAAGGCCACCAAGGCGGGAGGCAACAGGGCAGGGGAUGAGGUGGCUCCUGGGGGGGCUCUCCUUGGCCGCCUUUCCACAGCUCAGUGAGGAAAAAGGGCAGGAAAGCAAAAUGUGCUGCUGGGAGGGAGCUGCAGCCACGGCCCAAGAGCGGCUGUAAAACCAGCAAAAUAAAACCUUCCGCUGUUCAUUGCUGGCUAAUAAACAUCAGCACCGCUGCUGCUGCUGCCAGUAACGAAGUUUUCCUUCCCAGCCACUUGAUUUUAGUGGGAACUUGACCUGAGAUUGGAUCUGCUGUGCAGAGCCUCGCAGGGCUGCUGGCGGCGGGAUGAGAAAUCUCUGCUGGUGGUUGCAGAGCCGAGAGCCUGAGCCUGCAGGUGCUUCACACACGGGCUGGCCCUGGGCAGCAGGGACUGGACACAGCUCUGCCUGCAGAGGCAGGAAGGGCGAGUUCCCGAAGCCCAGGUGAUGGGAAGCACGGAUGGGGCUGUGCCACGAGCUCCCCGGGGUGCCUGGAGCAGGGACCUGGGUCACUCCUUCAUGAACCUUCCAGCCCCAGCGCGGCCUCCCCGGUUCCCCUUUUCCUCCUCACCCCAGGGAGGCUGAGGGGCUGAUCCCGUGGGAUGGAGCUGCAGGGGCAGCCCUGCUGUCCCCUCCUGUGCAGAGCUGGCUGCGCCUGGGCUGGGCACGCCCCCGUGUCCCCCUCAGACCCAGCUGGUGCCCAGCUGUGCUCCAGAGCCAAAUCCUGCUCAGGUGGGCAGCAGAGGCAGGGGCUGGACCUGGAGCCUUCGCUGCAGCGCCUCGUGUCGGAUCCAGCGCUGCCUCAGACUGAAAUAAUCUCCUCCUGGACUGCUCUGCUGUGUCUCCAGAGCGUUUCCUCGCCCUGCCACCAUGGGAAGAGCUUUGUCCUUGUGGGAGGCUCCACCCAGAGGUCCCUUCCCUCCCAGACCUGCCCAGCGUCCCCAUCCAGCUCCAGCCCCAAGCCCUCGCUGUGAAGGAGCCAAUUCCAAAAUCAGGGAGCGUCUCCCUCCCCUCCCUGUGGCUGCUCCGAGGGGGAACCUCCAGCGAGGCACGAGCAAAGGACCCAGCAGAGCCCAAAGCUGCCGAGCCUGGAAUGGGACCUGCUGCUUUCCAGCCCCAGGGCCCCUCUGCCCUUCCCUGCCAGCCUCUGACUCCCAGCCUGGCAUCUGGAUAUCCUGAUUUCAGCUCCACACCCUGCCUGCUCCAGGACCUGGACUGUGAAAAGCCAGGGCAGGAGAGCCAGACUGGGAGGAUCCUCCUCCAGCUGUCCUGACCAGGAGACGCCGAGGGAUGCAAAGCCUGGCCACUGCAUCCAUCCAUGGGUCUGUCCAUCCAUCAUCCAUCCAUGGAUCCGUCCAUCCAUCCAUCCAUAGAUCUGUCCAUCCAUCCAUCCAUGGAUCCGUCCAUCCAUCCAUCCAUAGAUCUGUCCAUCCAUCCAUCCAUGGAUCCGUCCAUCCAUCCAUCCAUAGAUCUGUCCAUCCAUCCAUCCAUGGAUCCGUCCAUCCAUCCAUCCAUAGAUCUGUCCAUCCAUCCAUCCAUGGAUCCGUCCAUCCAUCCAUCCAUAGAUCUGUCCAUCCAUCCAUCCAUGGAUCUGUCCAUCCAUCAUCCAUCCAUGGAUCCGUCCAUCCAUCAUUCAUCCAUCCAUCCCUCCAUUAUCCAUCCUUCCAUCCCCCCACGCUGGGAGGAGGCCUGGGACGGCUGUUUGUAGAUAUAUGUAAAUUGUAUAUACUGGAUGUAUAAACCAGGGGGGUUUCUGUUCCCUGACAGCCCCACAGGGGCACCUUUGGCUCCCACUCGCCCUCCCCACGAGCCCAGAGGGACCACCGAGGCUGCUGCCCCUCUGCCAGGUGGCUUCUGCAGGGCCAGGGAGGUGCAGGGAGGUGUCUCUGUUCCCUGCAGAGCCCCCAGCAGCUCUGUCCAUCCCCCUGUCCUGUGCUGUGCUCUGUCACCGGAUCCCUUGUGCCCAGGGCGUGUCCCUGCUCCCAGCCCUGUUUUCCUCCCCAGCAAUCAUUCCUCAGUGUCCCAGGUGGGACUGAGCCUUCCCGCACAGGGAGGGGGCUGUGGAUGGUGCAGGAGGGAAAUAAAGGAGUUUUCCUAGAGUUUCUGGUAGUUUGUGUGUGUUGGAGCUGGAGGGUGUGAGCCAGGCUUGGACACAUCCCUGGGAGAGCAUCCCAGAAUGGUUCAGGUUGGAAAACCCCUCAAAGAUCACCGAGUCCAACCUGGGCCACCACUGACAGUGUCCCCAAGUGCCACAUCCACGCAGCUUUAAAUCCCUGCAGCGAUGGGGACUGUGCCUGGCAGCCCUUUCUUUCCACAAAAAAAUUAUUCAUGAUGUCCAACCCGAGCCUUUCCUGGCACUAUCUGAGGCAGUUCCCUCUUGUCCUGACCCUGGGAGCAGAGUUUAUCAAAUCCCAUAAACACAGAGUCCGGCUGUGAGCAGCUGUGCUCGGCAGCACCAACACCGUCCACGCAAAUAAACCAAGCUGCUCCGAAAUGCUUGUGAUUCUUUUUCUUCCCAUCUCGAUUUCCAGCACAAACGGGGGUUUGUGGGGUUUAAAUACAACAAUCUCACAGCCGAGCCCAGGAGCGCUGGAAUCGCCCGUAGAGCUGGGUCCUGCCCGUGGAUCUGCCUCUCCCUUCGGGGCUGGAAAGCACCUUAAAGCUCCGUCCCGUUCCACCCCAUCCUGGGUGGAUUUUGGGGGGAUGUCCCGGUGCUCAGAGCGGCGCUUUUGGAAUGGUGAGAACGGGCAAAGAACCCAACGGGCCCUGAGGGCGAAACCUCCCUACGUGUGUGGAGUGACAGCGGCACCCGCAGGCCGCGGAGCGCGACCUGUUUCCCCGGGAAACGGGAAAGAAAAAGAAAGCGCAAUAAAAUAAAUAAACUAACUCAAUAAAAUAAAAUAAAAUAAACAAAGCGGCGUUUUCUCCCUCUAGCAGCGUCUCCAUGGCAACGCGGCUCUGCCCGGCACAAAGAUGGCGGCGACGCCAUGGCAACGGCACCUGGGCGUGGUUAUGCCAGACACAAAGAUGGCGGCGGCGCCAUGGCAACGGCACCCGGAUGUGCCCAACACAAAGAUGGCGGCGCUGUCAUGGCAACGGCACCCGGAUGUGCCCGACACAAAGAUGGCGGUGCUGUCAUGGGGGGGUUUGUGGGGUUUAAAUACAGCAAUCUCACAGCCAAGCCCAGGAGCGCUGGAAUCGCCCAUAGAGCUGGGUCCUGCCCGUGGAUCUGCCUCUCCCUUCGGGGCUGGAAAGCACCUUAAAGCUCCGUCCCGUUCCACCCCAUCCUGGGUGGAUUUUGGGGGGAUGUCCCGGUGCUCAGAGCGGCGCUUUUGGAAUGGUGAGAACGGGCAAAGAACCCAACGGGCCCUGAGGGCGAAACCUCCCUACGUGUGUGGAGUGACAGCGGCACCCGCAGGCCGCGGAGCGCGACCUGUUUCCCCGGGAAACGGGAAAGAAAAAGAAAGCGCAAUAAAAUAAAUAAACUAACUCAAUAAAAUAAAAUAAAAUAAACAAAGCGGCGUUUUCUCCCUCUAGCAGCGUCUCCAUGGCAACGCGGCUCUGCCCGGCACAAAGAUGGCGGCGACGCCAUGGCAACGGCACCUGGGCGUGGUUAUGCCAGACACAAAGAUGGCGGCGGCGCCAUGGCAACGGCACCCGGAUGUGCCCAACACAAAGAUGGCGGCGCUGUCAUGGCAACGGCACCCGGAUGUGCCCGACACAAAGAUGGCGGUGCUGUCAUGGCAACAGCACCCGGAUGUGCCCGACACAAAGAUGGCGGCGCCGCUCCGUCGUGGCGCCGGAAGUGCAUUCCCCUUGCCGUGGCCAAGAUGGCGGCGGCCCCGGCGGUGCGGGCCGGGCCCGAUGCCGGUGCGGUGGCGGCGAUGGCGGCGCGCGGCGCCGAGGCCGAGGCGCUGUUCGAGGCGCACACGGCGGCCGAGCUGCGGGCGGGGGGGGGGGGGGGGGGGGGGGGGGGGGGGGGGGGGGGGGGGGGGGGGGGGGGGGGGGGGGGGGGGGGGGGGGGGG
rnacentral:lncRNA from 1 species